rnacentral:rRNA from 1 species
GUAGGUGGCAAGCGUUGUCCGGAAUUAUUGGGCGUAAAGCGCGCGCAGGCGGUUCUUUAAGUCUGAUGUGAGAGCCCACGGCUCAACCGUGGAGGGUCAUUGGAAACUGGAGAACUUGAGUACAGAAGAGGAAAGCGGAAUUCCACGUGUAGCGGUGAAAUGCGUAGAGAUGUGGAGGAACACCAGUGGCGAAGGCGGCUUUCUGGUCUGUAACUGACGCUGAGGCGCGAAAGCGUGGGGAGCAAACAGGAUUAGAUACCCUGGUAGUCCACGCCGUAAACGAUGAGUGCUAAGUGUUAGGGGGUUUCCGCCCCCCUUAGUGCUGCAGCUAACGCAUUAGGCACUCCGCCUGGGAGUACGACCGCAAGGUUG